rnacentral:rRNA from 1 species
CUCGUAGGCGGUCUGUUGCGUCCGCUGUGAAAUCUCGGGCUUAACCCCGAGCCUGCAGUGGAUACGGGCAGACUAGAGGUAGGUAGGGGAGAAUGGAAUUCCCGGUGUAGCGGUGAAAUGCGCAGAUAUCGGGAGGAACACCGGUGGCGAAGGCGGUUCUCUGGGCCUUACCUGACGCUGAGGAGCGAAAGCGUGGGGAGCGAACA